CAAACUUGUUGACAGCCGGUCAAUUUCAAAAUUAUCCCAACCAAGAACACUACUUAAAUUCACCAAAUUUGUCUUUUGCGGCUCAUGUGGGAAACAUUUUCAGUUUUUGGCUGACGCUGAAGACGACGGACCAUCAUCGGACAACCUCUCUGAAGAGGAUCUAAUUCUUAAGUACUUCAGAAAUGGCCAUAAUUACAAUGCUGUUUUGAAUUUCUUGGAAACUAAACAUAACCUUAAAAUGAGCCUUUGCUGAAUGGCCCUGGACAGCAUUACGGGUACCGCACAAUGUGGCAGACAUUGCAUCAGAAGUAUGGUGAGAAGGCAAGACGUCAUGCUUAUGCUUGCUGAUGUUGAUCCAUCAGGUGUUGAACAACACUCAAGACGAAGAUUUGUGAGAAGAGUUUAUCAUUCCCUGGGACCAAACCAUGUUUGGCAUGUAGAUGGAUACGACAAAUAAAAACCAUAUGGUUUGGCAUUUAGUGGCUGUAUUGACGGUUAGUCACGCAAAGUAAUGUGGUUGAUAUGUGGAGCAAGCGACAAUGAUCCAGAGGUCAUAGCUCAACAUUAUCUGCAUUGUGUCACUGAAUUUGGAGUCAUAUCAAUUUUGCAGGGGCUCCAAGUCAUAUAUAUGGCUCCUCAACCUCAAACCAGCAAAUUGAAAGCUGGUUGUCAUACUUCAGAAAACAAAUGUAUUGUCAUAACCAUUUAUACAGAUUUCUAUAGGAGUAUUAAUUUAGUUUAAAAAUAUUGUGAUGAUGGGUCUGUGUACUGUCAGUGCUGCCUGGUGAUAGAUGUGCUUUACCUAUAUCUACAGCUCUGGAAAAUUAAGAGACCACUGCACAUUUUUCUUUAAUCUCUAAAUUACUUUUUUGAAUUCUGUCUGUAGUUCAUAGAAAAAUCUUUAUUUUCCCCAAACAUAAAUAGCAAAAACCUUGCACUACCUUGACCAUGUUCUCUCACAUUUUAGAGUGGCCUUUUAUUUUGGCCAGCCUAAGGCACACCUGUGGCACAGAUUUAAACAGAUUUGUUAACAAUAUUUGAGAGAAAUAGGCCUUUUGUGUACAUCGAAAAAGUCUUAGAUCUUUGAGUUCAGCUCAUGAUAAAUGGAGUGUUGCGUUCAUUUUGUUGAAUGUAUGUAACAAAUGCUAUAAAACAAAUGUUUUCAUUGCCAAAUAAAAUCAAAAGACAAAUUCAAAAGAAG
ensembl:lncRNA